UCAGCAGCGAUCUCCAUACGACGCAUGAGAACCAUGUCGUUGAAGAAGGACAUGAGUUCGGAGGCGGUGGUUUGGACGGUGGUGGAAGGUGGUUCGCAGUUGUGGGAAGUGAAAGGGAUGGAGGUUUCGACGGUUAGGGUUUCGGUGGAAGAGGAAGAAAUGGAACGGUGUCGUAUGGCGGAGGAGAGGAAGUAGGGUUUGAGUAGAGUGGAUCCGAAUUGAGAGGAUGAGAAUCGCGAUAGAGCCAUUUGGAUUGGAUUGGAUUGGAUUGGAUCUGUUACUGGAAAAUGAGUUUAAUGAACUGAAC
rnacentral:lncRNA from 1 species